rnacentral:rRNA from 1 species
UGGGGAAUAUUGCACAAUGGGCGCAAGCCUGAUGCAGCCAUGCCGCGUGUGUGAAGAAGGCCUUCGGGUUGUAAAGCACUUUCAGCGGGGAGGAAGGCGUUAAGGUUAAUAACCUUGGCGAUUGACGUUACCCGCAGAAGAAGCACCGGCUAACUCCGUGCCAGCAGCCGCGGUAAUACGGAGGGUGCAAGCGUUAAUCGGAAUUACUGGGCGUAAAGCGCACGCAGGCGGUCUGUCAAGUCGGAUGUGAAAUCCCCGGGCUCAACCUGGGAACUGCAUUCGAACCUGGCAGGCUAGAGUCUUGUAGAGGGGGGUAGAAUUCCAGGUGUAGCGAUGAAAUGCGUAGAGAUCUGGAGGAAUACCGGUGGCGAAGGCGGCCCCCUGGACAAAGACUGACGCUCAGGUGCGAAAGCGUGGGGAGCAAACAGG